GGUGACCGACGUUUAUGUUAAUUCUGGGUGAUGACUGACACGAAUCCAUGUAUCACACAGUCCUUCAGUCAUAAACCAUUGACCAAGAUUGGGACCGGGGUGGAUCCAGCCACAGGUCCCCAGGCUGCUGAGGAAGCCCCGUCCAAGCCCGUGGAGGCCUGGCCCCACACAAGGAUGGCUUCUACACCGGCAACACUGCCACAGCGGCUCAGCCGAAUCCGUCAUGGGGGGAAAGAACUGUGGGUUUGCAAUCCUUUCCCUUGCCCCCAUCCGGGUCUGGGGUCCCCUGGGAGCUCACGGGGGUGCAGGUGGCUUGGGGACAGUCUGGGGACAUGGAGGGGAGGGAGAAGGAGUCACCUUGGGUGCGUGCAGGAGCGUGGCCGGCACCGGAGGGAGGGGAGAUGCUGUCCGUCCGACCCUCAGCACCAGUGACCACCGACAUGGCACCCCCUUGUCUGGGCUCAACCAGACCCUGAUGGGAUCCCGGCCGCUGCCAUCGCCACCGUGUCCCCAUCCUGCAGAAGCCCGGGGUGUGAUGGAGCGCCCCGUUGCCCCCAGGACCCCCCCAGCUCUGCAGGAUGCCCAGCCCGGGCUGGGGGUUGGCUGGGAGCCGAGCCGGGUGCUGACCCCAAGCCGCUCGCUGUUUCCUGCCUUCUGACUGCGCCGCGGUCCCUGGGGACCGGGAAGUGUCGGAGAUGGCUGGGAUGGUGUCAGUCCUGAAUCCAUUCUCAGCUACUGCCGUUUCCUUCCUGAGCUACAAAUAACGGUGAGUCAGCCCCUGUCCCCACCGCGGGGACCCUGCCAGGGCUCUGCUGGACCCCCAUCCCCGGGACCCCAGCGUGUCGGUGGCUUUGCUGGUUGGAUGCUCCCUCUGGAGCUCGUCCCAAGGGCUCCCCACAGCCUCCGGGGGCCACCAGGGGUUCUCGAUGGGGUGUCCAGCUGCAUUGAGGUUAGACCUUGGGAAUGGCAUUGCGUUGAGGUUGGAUUGGGAAUGGCGCUGAAUUGAGGUUGGACCUUGGGAAUGGCACUGCAUUGAGGUUGGACCUUGGGAAUGGCGCUGCGUUGAGGUUGGAUUGGGAAUGGUGCUGCAUUGAGGUUGGACCAUGAGAAUGGCACUGCGUUGAGGUUGGACCUUGGGAAUGGCGCUGUGUUGAGGUUGGACCACGGGAAUAGCUUUGUCUGGGUCCCCUCUCUGUCUCCAAAUGCUGUAGGGCUGGGGUCUCACUUUGGGACCACCAGAUUUGGGGUGCGGGAACAGGGCUGGUCCUACCCUACAGAGCUGAGGGAGCCCCAGCACAAUCAGGAUUGUCCUCACAAAGGCUUUUUCACCUGGGAAGCUGCCUGCCAGCACCCUCCCGAGCCCGCCGAGCUGGGGAGCGCGGAGGCGAUCGCCCCCGGGGAGCACGGAUGGAGGGGGCCGGAUGCCUGUGUGCAGCCAGCCUGCCCUCUGCACAGGAUGCCGCGGUGGCAGGAAAAUCUGCAACUUUCCUGGAAACCUUCUUCAAAGUGGAUCAAAGAUGCUGGGAAGUGACUGGAAAACAGCAGCAGCUGCUGAUCCCCGUCCCCGCUCCCUGCUUCAGCCGCACGGUCCCUGGCUGGGCACCCCUGGGGUACCUGCGGGGUCCCUGGUGGGGCUGGAUCUGGUCCUGGCAGCUGCUGGGCACUGCGGUGGCAGAGCGGGUUAAAGCCCUGGGAGGUGUGUGAGGUUGGAGCAGGAUCGUGGGGGCCACUGGGCUU